CUUGUCCCUGAUUGAACACCAUUCUCUGGUGGAGUCUCCAUUCAUCUGUGGUAUUCAAAAUGACCAUCACCAUCAACAUGUGUCCAUAGUGGAUGAUGUGUGUUUUCCUUUAUUUCUGUCUGUCCAUGCAGGUACAACAUCCACAGAUACUGUGUGUGGUGACUGUGUAGGCGACACAUACUCAGAUGGAUCAUUCACAUCCUGCAGACCACACACACGGUGUGAGUUGAUUGGACUUGUUGUCCUAAGAGAAGGAUCAUCUUCUUAUGACACUUAUUGUGGUCAAAAACCAAACACUGUUGCCAUUGUAGCUGGUAUCACAGCUUGUAUCAUAGUUGCAGUCCUAGCUGCUGCAUGUGGGGCUGUGGUAUUUAUGUAUAAUAGAAGGACGAGGAAAAGAAAAGCUUCACAAGAAAGAAGUUUGCAAGGCGACACACAAGAGGGGUCAGACCAUACUGUAAAAGAGGAACAAAGUGAAUUAUUUGUUGGCAGUGAGGAUACAGCAGCAGUCACGUGAUAACAAUGGUGAUGUCCCGUUUUCCUUCUGGACCAACUGACCACAGUGCCACCUCUCUAUUACUGCUGUGCUACACCACCUCACUACUGCAGAGACUGCUGCCCUGAGAUGCCAGAGUGGGGACCUGCAUACCAUGAUCAGAACACCACUUGCUAGAUGAG